AUCACAGUAAGGUUUUUAAUUGUUACUCAUAAAUGAUUUGAUAUUGAGAUAAAAAUGACUGCAUUGGACCUUUAAAGGACAGCUUUAUCAUCAAUCCAAAUACUGAAAUACUUACAAUGGAUGUGAGGACUUUCCCCUCCUUAACCUAGAGGUAGGUGAAAGGACCCAGACACUAGAAGUACCACAAGGACAUUUCCUAGCUCCUUAUUACCAUAUAGAGCAACAUAAAACAGGACUUUCUACCACCAAAAAAGAAAAGGCGUCCUGUCAUUGGUUUAUGUUGUGGUAAAUUACAUAGAAACCUGGACGUUAUUUCUGAACUGUAUUACAGGCUAUGUCAUGUAUGGUAACAGGCUGUUCUGAUUUUCUACAACACAAUGUCCAGGUGAUAACAUACAAAUUGAGUUUGCUGUGCAACAGAAUGUCAACCCUCAGGUCUAAACAGCUUACAAUGUAUUUUCAGUAAAAGUGGCCAUUUUGGUUUUCAAAUAGGACCGUAAAAAUCCACAUCAACCAAAUUCGAAGGACAGUUCGGUCAGCGAUAGCACACUAUACAAUGUCAGUCGGUAGAGCAUGGCGCUUGCAAUGCCAAGGGUUGUGGGUUUGAUUCCCGCUGGGGCCACCCAUAUAUAAAAAUGUAUGCAUAACUGUAAGUUGCUUUGGAUAAAUGGCAUAUACUAUUAUUAUUUUAAGGGUUUUUAUUGGAUGAUAAUACGGGAUGACAAAUAAAACGUGUACUGCAUUAUGA